AGAACUUAGCAGAGAUGCUUUGGUGCCUUCGGGAACUCUGAGACAGGUGCUGCAUGGCUGUCGUCAGCUCGUGUUGUGAAAUGUUGGGUUAAGUCCCGCAACGAGCGCAACCCUUAUCCUUUGUUGCCAGCGGUCCGGCCGGGAACUCAAAGGAGACUGCCAGUGAUAAACUGGAGGAAGGUGGGGAUGACGUCAAGUCAUCAUGGCCCUUACGAGUAGGGCUACACACGUGCUACAAUGGCGCAUACAAAGAGAAGCGACCUCGCGAGAGCAAGCGGACCUCAUGAAGUGCGUCGUAGUCCGGAUUGGAGUCUGCAACUCGACUCCAUGAAGUCGGAAUCGCUAGUAAUCGUAGAUCAGAAUGCUACGGUGAAUACGUUCCCGGGCCUUGUACACACCGCCCGUCACACCAUGGGAGUGGGUUGCAAAAGAAGUAGGUAGCUUAACCUUCGGGAGGGCGCUUACCACUUUGUGAUUCAUGACUGGGGUGAAGUCGUAACAAGGUAAGCGUAGCGAG
rnacentral:rRNA from 1 species